GAUGAACGCUGGCGGCGUGCUUAACACAUGCAAGUCGAACGGUGAAGCCAAGCUUGCUUGGUGGAUCAGUGGCGAACGGGUGAGUAACACGUGAGCAACCUGCCCUGAACUCUGGGAUAAGCGCUGGAAACGGCGUCUAAUACUGGAUAUGAGCUGCGGAGGCAUCUUCGUGGUUGGAAAGAUUUUUCGGUUUGGGAUGGGCUCGCGGCGUAUCAGCUUGUUGGUGAGGUAAUGGCUCACUAAGGCGUCGAUGGGUAGCCGGCCUGAGAGGGUGACCGGCAACGCUGUGACUGAGAUACGGCCCAGACUCGUACGGGAGGCAGCAGUUGGGAAUAUUGCAAAAUGGGCGGAAGCCUGAUGCAGGAACGCCGCGUGAGGGAUGACGGCCUUCGGGUUGUAAACCUCUUUUAGAAGGGAAGAAGCGAAAGUGACGGUACCUGCAGAAAAAGCGCCGGCUAACUACGUGCCAGCCGCCGCCGUAA
rnacentral:rRNA from 1 species